rnacentral:lncRNA from 1 species
AGGAAUUGAAGAAUCAAGGGGAAAAAGGAAUGAAGAUGAAUCAAAAAGAAAAAUUGAAGAAGAAUCGAAGAAGAAUCAAAAAAGAAUCGAGGGGAAGAAGAAAAAUUGAAGAAAAAAAGAAAAAUCGAAAAAGAAGAAUCAAAGAAAAAACAAUAAUCGAAGAGGAAGAAAAAAACAAUCGAAGAAGAAGGAGAAGAAUCAAAGAAUUAGAAGAAGAAUCGAAUAAGAAGAAUAAGAAAACAAUGAGUGGAAAAAUGAAGAACGAUAAACGAAGAACGACGAACGAUGAACACAGAUACCCAGCUGGGUUUCUGCAAUUUUUUUAUUACUGGACGAAAGAUUAACG